GGGCCCUGGCAGUCACUCGAGAGGCCUCAGUUCACUGCAAUGCAGGGAGCAAGCGUGGGCACAGCUUGGGGUAGAUGGGUGAAAGGAGCCUCCAUCUGUUAUCUUCUACUGGGGUAGAGAAGAUGAAAAAACUGGAAUCGACCACACAGUGCCUCCACUGAGGGACUGGGCUAAGCAAUCAACAAGGGAGAUACUUGAUAAAGAGUCUGGGGUUGCUCUGAGACCCCUCUCCAGGGUGACUGGUGGCAGCUUGGGAAACCAAACUCUUGUUCACUACAUUAUGCUCCUUCAAGCCUUUCCUACAGAGAAGAGACUGUUGCUUUAAUCCAAGAGACGUCCCCAGGAUGAGCGGGCAUCCUUCUCUGUCUGUGGAAGACUUUGGACAUGUUCCUGUCGCUAAAUGAAUACAGAAUAUCUACCUGGAGUCAUUGCCUGAGAAACUGCAUCUCAUCCCAUGUGGUCACUCCUCGGGGCUCUGUGUAACAAACUAAAUGUGAGAACAUGGCCAA